GUCCUUUUAGCGCAAAAAAUAGCGCGUUGGACUUCUAAUCCAAAGGUGGUAGAUUCAAAUCCUAUCUGGGUAGGACU